GGCGCGAGGCAGAGCCGGGGGAGGAGCGCGGCCGCCGCGAGGGGAGGGAGGGGGCGCGGCAGGGCCCGCACCGCCGGGUCGCCCCCGCGGGGACCCUCCCCGAGGACCUCCCCGAAACACUCCUCGGAACUGGGGGCUCCAGGGCCUUCAGCUGAUGCUCUCAGGACUGUUACUUCGGACGCAGGCCCGCGGGAGUGCGCCUCGGUUGUACAGCUAGCACCUCUCUGGCCGGGCUGCAGGGAGAAGCCAGUCCCCCGCAAACCCCAUGGAGAAACACGCAGGUACAAGCUGGCCAGUGGGAGCUCCCACCUCCAAGGCGCUGAGACAGUGAUUGCCAUGACCCCGGUGAAUAUGCAGAUCUGGACUGGCCACGAAGUCCCUACGACGGGAAUAGAUUCAGAGAGGACAGAGCUCAGCGGAGGCCACACAGCGCGUCCCCCAACCCGCCCCCGUCCCCGGCCUGCCGAUUCCUGGACACGAUUCUGAGGUCAGCUCCCAGCGCACAGCGGUUUUUGCGCCCCUCGACAGAGACGCCUCGCUCCGAAGCCGGGGCCAUGCCCUGCAUCUGGCCCGGGACGCUCGUGAGGACUGGAACCCCGCGUGAGGGUUUGGAGAAGGUUCUGGUGGUCUUGGUCCCGCCUCUCGUCGGGGGCCGCCCUUUCUCCUCGCCCCUUGGCCUUCAACCCCCUCCUUCUACUUGCCCCGGCCCCGCCCCUUUCCGACUCCCCGGGGGCUCGGUGUCCUUCAGCCCCGCCUCCCUCCCGACCCCGCCCGCAGCCGCGCCCCCAGCCCGGUCCCCGCCCGCUGGGUCCUGCGGUCCCGCUCCCGCCGCUCCGCGGCUUCAGGUCCAGGUGCCUCCUGCUGGGCUGAGCGCGGAAGCUGCGGAGCUAGACUUUCGCCUGCCCCGGAGUCCUCUCCUGGAUCUCUGAUUCUCUGCGGCUCAGGGGAGGUGGAGGAGAUGUUCCGGGACCCCCUGUAGCGUUGCCUGGGCAGCUUCCCCGCCCUACCGAGUCCCGGGAAAAAGGGUGGGCCUGGAACAGGGACAUCUGUGUCCUCCCCGCUCCUCCCCGAUCCUCCUUCCGCGGGACCCCGGGCCGUGUUUCCCACCCCACCCCCACCGCCACCCCCGGGUCGGGACCUGGCCGCUGGGGAGGACGUAGAGACCCGAGGGAGGCAGAUUCCUGCUCUGGGUGGGCAAAAAUGGAACCUCAGCCGCCCCCAAAAAAGCAAAUGGGAGUGAGCUCGCACCCUGUGCCCAGAGGAGUGCCAGAGGGGUCUGGUGAGACACUAAAUGGUGGGGUUGGAGAAGCACCUGGGGUUCCCUGAGGAGGGAUGGAUGCCUCCCAGGAGCCGAGGGACAGGCAGGAGCGCAGGCAAGGUUGUGACACAGCCCCAGCGGGCACUCUGAGGUCAGGGUACCCACCUCUCCAGCUCCCCGCCCCGGGGCCCUGCUUCCUGACCCUUUUGUGCCCGCCCUCUCCUCUGCACCUUUGCACACAGUCCCCUGGACCAGGAAUGCCUAUUCUCCGCUCCAUUCCAGCAGGAAAAGUGGGCAAGGCUCAGGGCAUACUUCCUACGGUCGAAAGCACUUCCUAGAUGCUGGUCAGUCAACCCCCGUGCCCGCGGCAGGGAUCGCCCUGUCCUGUCGUCAUGUCCCACUCCUUCUCUCCCACUGAACCAGGACCUAAUGGCAGGGCCCGAGGCUGACCUCCAAGCAUUGCCCAGAAUGGCGCUGGCCCAGAGCAGGUGUGUUUGGAUCUGGUGUGACCAGUGGAGCAGUAAACAAAUGGCGAGUGGCAGGACCAGCUCUGGGAAACUCAGUUUCCAGAGGAAUUUCCGAGGGCUGGUGACUCCGGAAGUGUCUCCAUCCCAGGGAAAGGAGGAGACGGACGCACUCUAGGGUCCUUCUACUUGCCACAUGACCUCUUUGAUCUCCGAAGGGGGCUUGGCCCUUGGACUCCAUUUCAGAGAUGAGGAGGCAGGCUCUGAGGGAAGGCCUGUGUGGGGCAGUCCUUGCCGAGAGACCUCGGAGGCAAGGGGUCAGGUGUCUCCUCCAGGGCCUCCCCUGCUGGGCCGCCCCACCCCCACCCUGACCCCAGAGCCUAGGGCUGCUGGGCAGGAAGUGAAAGGUGCCUGCAGGAAGCCCCAGGAGGAACUGAGACUUGAGCCAGCCCUGCCUCCACCUGCCCGGGGCCCUGGGGACCUCAGGGAAACCAGAGCCUCCUUCAGGAAAAACUGGGCCAGAAACCCAGGCUGGGGGGAGGGGAAGCUGCUUCCCUAGAUCCCCACCCCAACCAGCAGUUCUUCCAGAGUCUAUCUUGGGUCCCUUUUAAAGCAAAAAGAGACCAGUUGGGGAGAAACAUCUUUGAGGAGUGACGAAAGCAAGUAGUCAAGCCCGGAAUGGAUUCCUGGAGUCCGUCGCCCUCAAGAAGGGCACCUGGGCCUUCUGGACAGGGGUGCCGGGCAGGGGCCAAGCCUCUCUAGCCCAGCUCCACCAGGGUGGGCAGACUGUAGCUUGGGCCAGAUCCUCUCACUCACCUCCAGGGCCUUUUUUUUCCUAUCUGCACAAUGGGACAUCUAAUCCCUGUUGGCGGACAUGAACUGGUCCAGAUUUUUAGGAAACCAAUUCAACCCACAGGGGCCAUAAAAAAACUCAGGCAAAGGUUUAGGUCAAGGAGGCAGCGCCACCUCAGCUACAGUAG